GCAGCAGGCGCGCAAAUUACCCACUCCCGGCACGGGGAGGUAGUGACGAAAAAUAACGAUACGGGACUCAUCCGAGGCCCCGUAAUCGGAAUGAGUACACUUUAAAUCCUUUAACGAGGAUCAAUUGGAGGGCAAGUCUGGUGCCAGCAGCCGCGGUAAUUCCAGCUCCAAUAGCGUAUAUUAAAGUUGUUGCGGUUAAAAAGCUCGUAGUCGAAUUUGUGUCUCGCGCCGACGGUUCAUCGUUCGCGGUGUCAACUGGCGUGACGCGAGACGUCCUGCCGGCGGGCUUAGCUCGCGAGAGCGGUCCAAUUCAAUCCCGCCGCGGUGCUCUUCAUUGAGUGUCGAGGUGGGCCGGCACGUUUACUUUGAACAAAUUACAGUGCUCAAAGCAGGCUAAAAUUUCGCCUGAAUACUCCGUGCAUGGAAUAAUGAAACAGGACCUCGGUUCUAUUUUGUUGGUUUUCGGAACACCGAGGUAAUGAUCAACAGGAACGGAUGGGGGCAUUCGUAUUGCGACGUUAGAGGUGAAAUUCUUGGAUCGUCGCAAGACGGACAGAAGCGAAAGCAUUUGCCAAAAAUGUUUUCAUUGAUCAAGAACGAAAGUUAGAGGUUCGAAGGCGAUCAGAUACCGCCCUAGUUCUAACCAUAAACGAUGCCAGCUAGCGAUCCGCCGACGUUCCUCCGAUGACUCGGCGGGCAGCUUCCGGGAAACCAAAGCUUUUGGGUUCCGGGGGAAGUAUGGUUGCAAAGCUGAAACUUAAAGGAAUUGACGGAAGGGCACCACCAGGAGUGGAGCCUGCGGCUUAAUUUGACUCAACACGGGAAACCUCACCAGGCCCAGACACCGGAAGGAUUGACAGAUUGAUAGCUCUUUCUUGAUUCGGUGGGUGGUGGUGCAUGGCCGU
rnacentral:rRNA from 1 species